rnacentral:sRNA from 1 species
ACUUGACCUAGGAAGUCCAGCUGGCCUCACCUCUCCAUCCCCCCUCCUAACAGGACACCCCACCUGCUACUGGGAACUGGGUGAUGACCGCUCUAGCUACUUCCUGCUGGAUGGGGCAAAGAAGGGGCCCUGCAGUUGUAGUGUCCUCCAGAGGGGAACUCUCUAGGCCAGUCAAAGGGUCAGUGGGUCGGUCUAGCAGUCCUCGGUAGAAGUUGUGAGUUAAGCUCAUUUGGGGUUCCAUUUGUAAGACCAUCUGUAGCUUGAUGGCCUCGAUCCUGGAGGAAACAAAUUUGAGAAGGAGAUUAAAAAUACAGAGACCGAAGAGGCCUUCUGAAUGAUGCUUUCCAGAAAGGGGGACCAGAGGGUGCCACUACCCGGCUUAUGAGAGGAGAGAUCACACUUUCCCAGUGGAUACCACUCAUGGAAGAAAACUGCAGGAAGUGCUCCGAGACCUCUAAAGUCUGCCUCCCCAAGAAUUUCUCCAUAAAAGAAAUCUUUGACAAGGCAAUUUCAGCCAGAAAGAUCAACCACCCCAUGCUCAAGGCAGCUCUCAUGCUCAGGAAG